CUCCCCGGCGGGGAAUCGAACCCCGUCACCCGUGACAGGUGGGGAUACUCUACCCCACUAUAAUACCGAGGA